AUGCUUGUCUCAAAGAUUAAGCCAUGCAUGUCUAAGUAUAAACACCUUUGUACUGUGAAACUGCGAAUGGCUCAUUAAAUCAGUUAUAGUUUAUUUGAUGGUGCUUACUACAUGGAUAACCGUGGUAAUUCUAGAGCUAAUACAUGCGCAAAAGACCCGACUGUUUGGGAGGGUUGUAUUUAUUAGAUAAAAAACCAGUCGGCUUCGGCUGUUCUCGGUGACUCAUAAUAACUGUGCGAAUCGCAUGGCCUUGUGCCGGCGAUGAAUCAUUCAAAUUUCUGCCCUAUCAACUUUCGAUGGUAAGGUAUUGGCUUACCAUGGUUGCAACGGGUAACGGGGAAUA
rnacentral:rRNA from 1 species